CCUACGUGAGGCAGCAGUGAGGAAUAUUGGUCAAUGGACGAGAGUCUGAACCAGCCAAGUAGCGUGAAGGAUGACUGCCCUAUGGGUUGUAAACUUCUUUUAUAUGGGAAUAAAACAGGGUAUGCAUACCCUCUUGUAUGUACCAUAUGAAUAAGGAUCGGCUGACUCCGUGCCAGCAGCCGCGGUAAUACGGAGGAUCCGAGCGUUAUCCGGAUUUAUUGGGUUUAAAGGGAGCGUAGGGUGAUUGUUAAUUCAGUUGUGAAAGUUUGCGGCUCAACCGUAAAAUUGCAGUUGAAACUGGCAGUCUUGAGUACAGUAGACGUUGGCGGAAUUCGUGGUGUAGCGGUGACAUGCUUCGCUCUCACGAAGAACUCCGAUUGCGAAGGCAGCUCACUGAACUGCACCUGACACUGAUGCUCGAAAGUGUGGGUAUCACACAGGAUUAGAUACCCCAGUAGUC
rnacentral:rRNA from 1 species